rnacentral:sRNA from 1 species
CAUCAUCACCAUCAUCCUGACUAGUCUUUCAGGCGAUGAGUGCUGGAAGACGUUUAAGAAACGCUUCCGGUGGUCUGAAUGCAGGCAAACAAUAAAAACCCCGGAAGGCAACUUCCGGGGUUUUUUU